GCGGGCGUGGCGGAAUUGGCAGACGCGCCAGACUUAGGAUCUGGUGGGUUCCCAUGCAGGUUCGACCCCUGUCGCCCGCACCA
rnacentral:tRNA from 1 species